UCAGCCCUACGGACGCAGCAGUGGGGAAUAUUGGACAAUGGGCGCAAGCCUGAUCCAGCCAUGCCGCGUGUGUGAAGAAGGCCUUAUGGUUGUAAAGCACUUUAAGCGAGGAGGAGGCUACUUUAGAUAAUACCUAGAGAUAGUGGACGUUACUCGCAGAAUAAGCACCGGCUAACUCUGUGCCAGCAGCCGCGGUAAUACAGAGGGUGCAAGCGUUAAUCGGAUUUACUGGGCGUAAAGCGCGCGUAGGCGGCUAAUUAAGUCAAAUGUGAAAUCCCCGAGCUUAACUUGGGAAUUGCAUUCGA
rnacentral:rRNA from 1 species